UACGUAGGUGGCAAGCGUUGUCCGGAUUUAUUGGGUUUAAAGGGUGCGUAGGCGGUCUUUUAGGUCAGUGCUGAAAUAUCCCGGCUUAACCGGGAGGGUGGCAUUGAUACUGAAGGACUUGAGUUCAGUCGAGGUAGGCGGAAUUGACGGUGUAGCGGUGAAAUGCUUAGAUAUCGUCAAGAACACCGAUAGUGUAGACAGCUUACUAGGCCGAAACUGACGCUGAGGCACGAAAGUGUGGGGAUCAAACAGG
rnacentral:rRNA from 1 species